UGCAAUAAGAAUAGGUAGCCUAAGUAACAUAGGCCUACGUGGUUCUAAACCGGAUUGAGCUACCAAGCAAUAAACAUGCCGUUGAAGAUUACAAAAUAUUGUGCAGUGCCUGGACUCGAAAGUAAAGCAACAUUGACCUGACUGUGAUUGUCAGUGACGGAGAUGCAGUGACGGUCUCGCGAGACUACGGGUGAUCCAUCAUGGCGGUGUACUAAACACAGCAAAAACAAAAACAAAACAGACCAAUCAUCUAUAACUAAACUACUAUCACCAAUCUCAUCAUGUCAAUACCAGAACUGGAUAAACCCACCAUGGAAACUUUGGAAAAGUUCAUAGACGACUACUUCUGCAGACUGACCAACAUGCCGCAACCACAAAAGAAACAACCACGCCGGGAAUACUCAGCAGAGUCAAAGGAAGAUACGACAACGAUAGAGGUGGGUCUUCUAGAAUCGAUUUAUAACAAACUGGCAAUUCUUGAAAUACUUCAUCAAGAUAUCAAAGACCUUAAAACCAGUCUUGAUUUUAGUCAGUCCCAGAUAGAGUCGCUGCAACAAGAAAACAAUGACAUGCAUACAAAGGUAUCAGAUCUCACAACAACAAUCAACAGUCUGAAAACCGAAAAUAAACUGCUGAAAGAAUCCAUAUUAGACAUUCAAUGUCUUAGUAUGCGAGAUAACCUGGUCUUCUCAGGUAUACCAGAACAAAUCCAAGACAACCCGGAACAAGCGAUCAAAGAUUUCAUGCUCUUCUCUUAAACUCCCAAAAGAAACUGUCAAUAACAUAACUUCCCACCUUGUCCACCGCCUCGGAACUAACAACAAGAAAAACGCCGAUACUAAAGGCCCACAUCCCACCCCAAUUUGAACAUUACAAACAGAAAGAACUGGUCAAGAGCAAGGGUAAAGAAUUGCGAGGAACUACUUUCGGACUUAACGAUCAAUUUCCACGGGUCAUCCAGGACAGAUGGAGAAUACUAAUCCCCAUUAUGAAACAGUUUCACCAGAAUGGAAGGAAAGCGGUCCUCACGGUCGAUCGACUAUAUGUUGAUGGUCAGCUUUAUAGAAAUGAGACUAUAUCGUGGUUAUAAUCUGUUAUCAAAGGCAAGAAAAAAGUAUACAUAUAUAUAUCGCCAGUAAAAGCAAUACAAGACAUAAAAUAAACACCUGUAAGCUACCUUCAAAA